UACGUCCAUAUCAUAUUGAAAUACCGGUUUCUCGUACGAUCACUGAAGUUAAGCAACGUUGAGUCUAGUUAGUACCUAGGUGGGUGACCACUUUGGAAUACCAGGUUCUGUAAG